GGCUGGUCCAAAGGUAGUGAGUUAUCUCAAUUGAUUGUUCACAGUCAGUUACAGAUUGAACUCCUUGUUCUAUACUUUCCCCCCUUCUUACUACUGCACUUGACUAGUCUAAA
rnacentral:Y_RNA from 1 species